GAUGAACGCUGGCGGCGUGCCUAAUACACGCAAGUCGAGCGAACGGACGAGAAGCUUGCUUCUCUGAUGUUAGCGGCGGACGGGUGAGUAACACGUGGAUAACCUACCUAUAAGACUGGGAUAACUUCGGGAAACCGGAGCUAAUACCGGAUAAUAUUUUGAACCGCAUGGUUCAAAAGUGAAAGACGGUCUUGCUGUCACUUAUAGAUGGAUCCGCGCUGCAUUAGCUAGUUGGUAAGGUAACGGCUUACCAAGGCAACGAUGCAUAGCCGACCUGAGAGGGUGAUCGGCCACACUGGAACUGAGACACGGUCCAGACUCCUACGGGAGGCAGCAGUAGGGAAUCUUCCGCAAUGGGCGAAAGCCUGACGGAGCAACGCCGCGUGAGUGAUGAAGGUCUUCGGAUCGUAAAACUCUGUUAUUAGGGAAGAACAUAUGUGUAAGUAACUGUGCACAUCUUGACGGUACCUAAUCAGAAAGCCACGGCUAACUACGUGCCAGCAGCCGCGGUAAUACGUAGGUGGCAAGCGUUAUCCGGAAUUAUUGGGCGUAAAGCGCGCGUAGCGGUUUUUUAAGUCUGAUGUGAAAGCCCACGGCUCAACCGUGGAGGGUCAUUGGAAACUGGAAAACUUGAGUGCAGAAGAGGAAAGUGGAAUUCCAUGUGUAGCGGUGAAAUGCGCAGAGAUAUGGAGGAACACCAGUGGCGAAGGCGACUUUCUGGUCUGUAACUGACGCUGAUGUGCGAAAGCGUGGGGAUCAAACAGGAUUAGAUACCCUGGUAGUCCACGCCGUAAACGAUGAGUGCUAAGUGUUAGGGGGUUUCCGCCCCUUAGUGCUGCAGCUAACGCAUUAAGCACUCCGCCUGGGGAGUACGACCGCAAGGUUGAAACUCAAAGGAAUUGACGGGGACCCGCACAAGCGGUGGAGCAUGUGGUUUAAUUCGAAGCAACGCGAAGAACCUUACCAAAUCUUGACAUCCUUUGACAACUCUAGAGAUAGAGCUUUCCCCUUCGGGGGACAAAGUGACAGGUGGUGCAUGGUUGUCGUCAGCUCGUGUCGUGAGAUGUUGGGUUAAGUCCCGCAACGAGCGCAACCCUUAAGCUUAGUUGCCAUCAUUAAGUUGGGCACUCUAAGUUGACUGCCGGUGACAAACCGGAGGAAGGUGGGGAUGACGUCAAAUCAUCAUGCCCCUUAUGAUUUGGGCUACACACGUGCUACAAUGGACAAUACAAAGGGCAGCGAAACCGCGAGGUCAAGCAAAUCCCAUAAAGUUGUUCUCAGUUCGGAUUGUAGUCUGCAACUCGACUACAUGAAGCUGGAAUCGCUAGUAAUCGUAGAUCAGCAUGCUACGGUGAAUACGUUCCCGGGUCU
rnacentral:rRNA from 1 species